rnacentral:lncRNA from 1 species
GCACUAUUAUGGGGUUGUUUUCUCAAAUUUAUAAAUAUAUACGUUUACAAGGUUAUUUUCUUAUAUCUACAAAUAUACCCCAUUUAAAUGGUUGUUUUCUUAAAUUCAUAAAUAUACACGUUUUACGGGGUUAUUUUCUAAUAUUGAUAAAUAUACCACUUCUACAGGGUUGUUUCUCAAAUUCAUAAAUAUACACGUUUUACGAAAU